GUCUAUGGCCAUACCACCCUGAACACGUCUGAUCUCGGAAGCUAAGCAGGGUUGGGCCUGGUGAGUACUUGGACAGGAGACCGCCUGGGAAUACCGGGUGCUGUAGGCU
rnacentral:rRNA from 1 species